UCCUCCAUCUAUUAUUCUUCCUUCUUCUAUCCCCCUCUUCCCUCUCUUCCUAUCUUCCUCUCUUCCUUCCUCUUCUCUACUAUCUCUCUUCCAAAUUUUUUUAUGGUUUGAAGGUGAAGAACAAUGACUGCUCGAUGAAUCUUAUCAAAACCCACAGGAUCCCAACCAGCAUCUCCCUUCCUUAUGGAUAGUUCUUUGCAAGUUUGAAUCGAAUUUCGUGAUCUUGGAUAACGAAAAGAUUUGCCGACAACCGCAGCCUGAUUCGACGUCCG
rnacentral:lncRNA from 1 species